UUUCCGUAGGUGAACCUGCGGAAGGAUCAUUAUUAAAUAACCAAGGAUAGAUUGCUGUAGCUGGCCCGCCUGGACGGGCACGCCCGCGUGCCCUCAAACCAAUCCAUCUAACCCCCAUGCGCACCACCGCGUGCGUCCCCCUAAAACAUGAUCGAAAGAAGAUAUACGUUUUCACACAAACUUGGUAUGCAGUGUACAAUGUAUUUUGUGUUUUUGCGAUCACGCAAUCAAUACAACUUUCAACAACGGAUCUCUUGGCUCUCGCCUCGAUGAAGAACA
rnacentral:misc_RNA from 1 species